GAUGCCGGCUGCUAGCACCAUGACCGGUGGGAGGGUCCUGCUGCUCUGUACAAACUCUGACAACUGUAUCUACCAAUCAGUCAACGGGCUCCAGUGCUGUGGCUUGAAGGUCGGGGAGGCUCCGCCGUCUGCGGUGCCCCAGCGCCAAGAGGUGUGCGGGUCGCCCAGGGACAGAGACAGGAGGGACCCCGCCGUGUCCACCAAGCGCCCCCUCGCCCCUCUGCUCAGCCGAAGCGGUAGCCCCGGUGAACCUGACGCCAUGCUGGCGCACAGGAGAGCCACCGGCGACCCGCGCACUCCCGCCAUGGAGAACGGGCUAACCAACAACAACAAGGGCCCGGCGGCAGCGAAGGCCGCCAGCAUCCGUGAUAAGAUCUCCCAGUGGGAGGGCAAAAAGGAGACCGGCCCCCUGACUUCUACAGGGACAUGUCUACUGAGCACCACACAGAAGGAAGUGGAGACGGUGAGGAAAAAGGAUUUCAAAGCAACCGAGGUCCAGAGGACGGACAGCAAGAGGGUUGUCGGCUGGGACAGACAGGACUUGGGGAAGGAGAACGUGGGGAAGGUGGGGGAUUCGAGGCCCAAAUCGCCACAGGGCCCAACAAACAAGGACAGGGAAGAUAUCCUAGAGAGGGGUUCACAGCCUUCCAAGCCCACAGAACAGCCCCAAGACAAGAAAAGUGUUUUAACUCAUGUUAAGAAACUGGAGAAGGCGACGAAGGAGGUUCCUGCCAGACCGUCACUCGCAUUUCCAGGGAACUACUUCUGCCCUCCUUCGAGGGAGGAGCUGGAGGAAACGGAGAAGAGAGCCAAAGAGCCCAUUUUUGGGACUUUUGAUGUUGUUCGGCCAAGUGGGUCUCGGAGGAGGAGGGAGGGGGAUCCAGAGAACGUGUACAGUGAGCCAGGUGCUCCCCCGUCCAUAAACCCUCUACCGAAACCUCAGAGGACCUUCCAGCAUCACACCCCCCCGGCUAACCCAGCUUCCGGGCCUGGAUCGGGCAAGGGAAGGAGGAACUUGCCCCCUUUGCCCUCUAUUCCUCCUCCACCUUUACCCACGUGCCCCCCGCCUGGAGUUUGCAGGAGACCCUGGGCUGACAAACCCCGGGACAGUGGUAACAGGUAAGAGAGUAAGAGGGGAGAGCAGUGUUGGCGGUCAGCGUUUAGCCGACACUCAUCUGAAGCUUUUGAGUCAAAGCGAAAUCCCCCAAAAGUCAUUGUUUACAGUUUGAUGUGAUCAUUUGAUUACCGGUGAUCUGUCUGUGUAUCUGACCCCCCCUCCACCACCGUCAACAACCCCUGAGGGGAACACCCCCCCCCCCAUCUGCCAUGAAUCACAACAGGCCGUGACGACACCCUGUUUCUAAAUAGCCCAGAAGAAUGAGCUCAUUUGUUGGAUGUGAGGAAUGUACACAUCAAGUGAACUCAUUCCUCUUCCCAAAGCGCUACUGCAAGAGAGCGGCGUGAGUUAUGGCGCUUUCUCGAGGUACGAAAUGAUGCAACGCAAAGCCCGUGACCAUUACAAAACAGCUGAUGGAUAUUUGGGAAUGUGAAAAUCUCAAUCGCUUAUUCUACCAAGAGCAAUUGCCAGGUCUUCUAAAGUAGUUCUUAACUUCGAUGGUCAAACAAACA
ensembl:lncRNA